GAUGAAGAACGUAGCGAAAUGGGAUAAGUAGUGUGAAUUGCAGAAUUCAGUGAAUCAUCGAAUCUUUGAACGCACAUUGCGCCCCUUGGUAUUCCAUGGGGCAUGCCUGUUCGAGCGUCAUUUGUACCCUCAAGCUUUGCUUGGUGUUGGGUGUUUGUCCCGCGUUGCGCGUGGACUCGCCUUAAAGCGAUUGGCAGCCGGCAUAUUGGCCUUGGAGCGCAGCACAUUUUGCGCUUCUAGUCAUGAAUGUUGGCGUCCAUUAAGCCUAUACAUUUGCUCUUGACCUCGGAUCAGGUAGGGAUACCCGCUGAACUUAAGCAUAUCAAUAAGCGGAGGA
rnacentral:misc_RNA from 1 species